rnacentral:rRNA from 1 species
UACGUAGGGUGCGAGCGUUGUCCGGAAUUAUUGGGGCGUAAAGGGCUCGUAGGCGGUUUGUCGCGUCGGGAGUGAAAACCCAGGGCUUAACCCUGGGCUGGCUUCCGAUACGGGCAGACUAGAGGUAUGCAGGGGGAGAACGGAAUUCCUGGUGUAGUGGUGAAAUGCGCAGAUAAUCAGGAGGAACACCGGUGGCGAAGGCGGUUCUCUGGGCAUUACCUGACGCUGAGGAGCGAAAGUGUGGGGAGCGAACAGGA